AAGUCGUAACAAGGUUUCCGUAGGUGAACCUGCGGAAGGAUCAUUAGAGAAUUUGUGGCUCCGGCCGCUUCUUUGACCCACACACUGUGAACCGUUGGGCCUCGGCCCUUUACAAAACUCUGUGUGAUGAACGUCUAUGCAUCGUAAUAAUAACAAAACUUUCAACAACGGAUCUCUUGGCUCUC
rnacentral:misc_RNA from 1 species